rnacentral:rRNA from 1 species
UGAGGAAUAUUGGUCAAUGGGCGGGAGCCUGAACCAGCCAAGCCGCGUGAGGGAAGAAGGCCCUAUGGGUCGUAAACCUCUUUUGUCAGGGAACAAAAGCGAGUAUGUAUACUAGUCUGAGUGUACCUGAAGAAAAACGCAUCGGCUAACUCCGUGCCAGCAGCCGCGGUAAUACGGAGGAUGCGAGCGUUAUCCGGAUUUAUUGGGUUUAAAGGGUGCGUAGGCGGCGAUGCAAGUCAGCGGUAAAAGCCCGGGGCUCAACCCCGGCGAGCCGUUGAAACUGCAGUGCUAGAGAAGGCGAGAGGUACGCGGAAUGCGCAGUGUAGCGGUGAAAUGCUUAGAUAUUGCGCAGAACUCCGAUUGCGAAGGCAGCGUACUGGCGCCUGACUGACGCUGAGGCACGAAAGCGUGGGGAUCGAACAGGAUUAGAUACCC